rnacentral:rRNA from 1 species
GAAGUCGUAACAAGGUUUCCGUAGGUGAACUGCGGAAGGAUCAUUGUCG